rnacentral:tRNA from 1 species
AAGGGUGUAGCUCAGUGAUAGAGUGUGUGCCUAGCACGCACAAGGUCCUGGGUUCAAUUCCCAGUACCUUCA